rnacentral:rRNA from 1 species
CCUACGGGUGGCAGCAGUCGAGAAUCAUUCACAAUGGGGGAAACCCUGAUGGUGCGACGCCGCGUGGGGGAAUGAAGGUCUUCGGAUUGUAAACCCCUGUCAUGUGGGAGCAAAUUAAAAAGAUAGUACCACAAGAGGAAGAGACGGCUAACUCUGUGCCAGAAGCCGCGGUAAUACAGAGGUCUCAAGCGUUGUUCGGAAUCACUGGGCGUAAAGCGUGCGUAGGCUGUUUCGUAAGUCGUGUGUGAAAGGGGCGGGCUCAACCCGCGGACGGCACAUGAUACUGCGAGACUAGAGUAAUGGAGGGGGAACCGGAAUGCUCGGUGUAGCAGUGAAAUGCGUAGAUAUCGAGAGGAACACUCGUGGCGAAGGCGGGUUCCUGGACAUUAACUGACGCUGAGGCACGAAGGCCAGGGGAGCGAAAGGGAUUAGAUACCCUGGUAGUC